GGAUUAGAUACCCUGGUAGUCCACGCAGUAAACGAUGAUCACUAGACGUAUGCAACUUAAUUGUAUGUGUCUCAGCUAACGCGAUAAGUGAUCCGCCUGGGGAGUACGAUCGCAAGAUUAAAACUUAAAGAAAUUGACGGGGAUCCGCACAAGCGGUGGAACAUGUGGUUUAAUUCGAUACUACGCGAGAAACCUUACCUGGGUUUGACAUGCAUAGGACGCACGCAGAGAUGUAUGCUUCAUGGGGCAACCUAUGACCUUUGCACAGGUGUUGCAUGGCUGUCGUCAGCUCGUGCCG
rnacentral:rRNA from 1 species